rnacentral:lncRNA from 1 species
GCUCUGCCAGGUGAGGACACAGUGAGAAGAAGGCCAUCUGCAAGCAGGAAUGGGUCCUCACUAGGAAUCAAAUCUGCUGGCACCUUGAUCUUGAACUUCCCAGCUUCCAGAACUGUGAGAAAUAAAUGUCUGUUUUUAAGCUA